rnacentral:rRNA from 1 species
CUACGGGCUGCUGCAGUGGGGAAUAUUGCACAAUGGGCGAAAGCCUGAUGCAGCAACGCCGCGUGGAGGAUGACACUUUUCGGAGCGUAAACUCCUUUUAUAUCCCAAGAUAAUGACGGUAGGAUAUGAAUAAGCACCGGCUAACUCCGUGCCAGCAGCCGCGGUAAUACGGGGGGUGCAAGCGUUACUCGGAAUCACUGGGCGUAAAGAGCGUGUAGGCGGUUUGAUAAGUUGGAAGUGAAAUCCUAUAGCUUAACUAUAGAAUUGCUUCCAAAACUGUUUAACUAGAAUGUGGGAGAGGUAGAUGGAAUUUCUGGUGUAGGGGUAAAAUCCGUAGAUAUCAGAAGGAAUACCUAUUGCGAAGGCGAUCUACUGGAACAUAAUUGACGCUGAGACGCGAAAGCGUGGGGAGCAAACAGGAUUAGAUACCCCAGUAGUC